CAGCCGCCACGGGAAUGCGGAGGGUGCAAGCGUUAUCCGGAUUUAUUGGGUUUAAAGGGUCCGUAGGCGGAUCUGUAAGUCAGUGGUGAAAUCUCACAGCUUAACUGUGAAACUGCCAUUGAUACUGCAGGUCUUGAGUAAAUUUGAAGUGGCUGGAAUAAGUAGUGUAGCGGUGAAAUGCAUAGAUAUUACUUAGAACACCAAUUGCGAAGGCAGGUCACUAAGAUUUAACUGACGCUGAUGGACGAAAGCGUGGGGAGCGAACAGGAUUAGAUACCCGCGUAGUCCCUGUCUCUUAUAC
rnacentral:rRNA from 1 species